GACGAACGCUGGCGGCGUGCUUAACACAUGCAAGUCGAACGCUGAACCCGCUUCGGUGGGGGAUGAGUGGCGAACGGGUGAGUAACACGUGGGCAACCUGCCCCCGGCUCUGGGAUAACUCCAAGAAAUUGGGGCUAAUACCGGAUGUGACCGCUGGCCGCAUGGUCUGGUGGUGGAAAGGGUUUCCGGCUGGGGAUGGGCCCGCGGCCUAUCAGCUUGUUGGUGGGGUAGUGGCCUACCAAGGCGACGACGGGUAGCCGGCCUGAGAGGGUGACCGGCCACACUGGGACUGAGACACGGCCCAGACUCCUACGGGAGGCAGCAGUGGGGAGUAUUGCGCAAUGGGCGGAAGCCUGACGCAGCGACGCCGCGUGGGGGAUGACGGCCUUCGGGUUGUAAACCUCUUUCAGCAGGGACGAAGCGCAAGUGACGGUACCUGCAGAAGAAGCACCGGCCAACUACGUG
rnacentral:rRNA from 1 species